rnacentral:rRNA from 1 species
UACGAAGGGGGCUAGCGUUGCUCGGAAUCACUGGGCGUAAAGGGUGCGUAGGCGGGUCUUAAGUCAGGGGUGAAAUCCUGGAGCUCAACUCCGGGUCUGCCGCGGAUACUGCGAGGCUUGAGUGCUGUAGAGGGGGGUAGAAUGCCGGGUGUAGCGGUGGAAUGCGUAGAGAUCCGGCAGAAGACCGGUGGCGAAGGCGGCCCCCUGGGCAGUAACUGACACUGAGGCGCGACAGCGUGGGGAGCAAACAGG